rnacentral:rRNA from 1 species
UGGGGAAUAUUGGACAAUGGGGGCAACCCUGAUCCAGCAAUGCCGCGUGUGUGAAGAAGGUCUUCGGAUUGUAAAGCACUUUCGACGGGGACGAUGAUGACGGUACCCGUAGAAGAAGCCCCGGCUAACUUCGUGCCAGCAGCCGCGGUAAUACGAAGGGGGCUAGCGUUGCUCGGAAUGACUGGGCGUAAAGGGCGUGUAGGCGGUUUACACAGUCAGAUGUGAAAUCCCCGGGCUUAACCUGGGAGCUGCAUUUGAUACGUGUAGACUAGAGUGUGAGAGAGGGUUGUGGAAUUCCCAGUGUAGAGGUGAAAUUCGUAGAUAUUGGGAAGAACACCGGUGGCGAAGGCGGCAACCUGGCUCAUGACUGACGCUGAGGCGCGAAAGCGUGGGGAGCAAACAGGAUUAGAUACCCUGGUAGUCCACGCCUGUAAACGAUGUGUGCUAGAUGUUGG